AGCAUGCUGAUUAAGGUUGCUUGGUUUUUUACUAAACAUUAACUGAAUGAAAACGGGUAGUCCUUGUUCUGCUUGGGGGGCUUUAAGGAAGCAAAUGGACUUUCAGAACAGAGAUUGUCAAUAAAGCUUUCUGGAAGUUACAUGGAGAUUCAUGAUAAGAAUUUUGGAUUCACACACUGAAUUUGGCAUAAAUGUUUUCAAAGAAAUUCAUAAUCUGCGUGUUUUCUGAGAUGUGGUACAUGGAAUGCAAAGAGCUCCAACAUUGGAAUAUGAGCGAUCUGAAGCAAAACUCUGGUUAUGUGACCCUGAAUUCACUUACCAGUUCAUGCCAGCCAAGUCUCUGACCCUUGGUUUUCCUUUUCAUGGGACUGAGCUAAUGACACCCAUUUCACAGGGUUGUGGAGAGGAUUAGUUCUCAUGUAUAAAGUGCCCCAAAUAGUGAAAGUUCCCAGCAAACAAUCAUUAUAGGAUAUUUCUUAUUGUUUUUUUUCUUCCUUUUUCAUGCUUAUUUAUUACUAUCCACAAUAGGGGUUGCCUCUCUUCACAAUUGCUGUGUAAGUAAGUGUCUUGUCAAUGGGUCUCAGCCCCGAGCAAGU